rnacentral:tRNA from 1 species
GGGUAAUUAGCUCAGUUGGUAGAGCAUCUGACUUUUAAUCAGGUGGUCGCAGGUUCGAAUCCUGCAUUACCCACCA